GACGUAGGAUGCAAGCGUUGUUCGGAUUUAUUGGGCGUAAAGCGUACGUAGGCGGUCCGUUAAGUGGGAGGUUAAAGACCAGAGCUCAACUCUGGGAGUGCCCCCCAAACUGGCGGACUCGAGGACCAUAGGGGAAGGUGGAAUUCCGAGUGUAGCGGUGAAAUGCGUAGAUAUUCGGAGGAACACCGGUGGCGAAAGCGACCUUCUGGGUGGUAUCUGACGCUGAGGUACGAAAGCGUGGGGAGCAAACAGG
rnacentral:rRNA from 1 species